CAUUAUUUUCAGGUCUGUAAACAACAUCAUCAAAAUUUUCACACUUUUCAAACAAAGAUUCAAUUUCAUAAGUGUGGGGACCCCGACUCGCAAGUCGUGAUCACCGAAUGCACGUGUACAGUGAUCCCAGAGAUCAAUGCUCACUGAACACACAGAAGCUGAAUAACAAGAAUCUUACAUCCAUACAUACCGUCUUACACAAAUAGUGACCAACAUGGUCAAGUCUUACAUCGAUAAAGCCUUAAGGGCUGAACAUCAAAUGAAACAUAGCAGCGGAAAUCGUCAUCGAUAAGUAGAACCCAUGCCAUCUGCCUUAACCCUACAGGCAUUCUGACUGGGAACGUCCUAGUUCGCAUGAUCGCCUCCAAAGAACCCUUCUUCGAACUCCGGUUCUCCCAUGCCUGGUCAAUUAAAUAACCAGUGGCAAGCCAAUGAGUACUUUGAAUGUACUCGCAAGCAACCCAUGAUUUGGUUCAAGGUACAGUAAUGCAUGACAUAGGUAAAGUUUUGCAUAAAGCUAGUUUUGAGUGCAGGACAUGUUCAACAUCCUAUAAAGCAUGCAUCAAGAGAAUUCAAGUAACCAUAAGAUCUGGUCACAGAUAUCAACAUAAAUAGAAAGGGGCACCAACCCAUUUGUCAUAAACAGAGAGGGCACCAACCCAUCUCAAUCGUGUCAAGUCCUCUGACUGGAUCCAAGACAACACCAUCAUCUCACACACACCGGGUUUGAAAACAAGUGGACGUAGCCCAAGAGCGGUUACCCAACUGUCCUUGACCGUGGACACGGCUAUUCGAAUAGUUUUACACUCUGCAGAGGUUGCACACUUUACCCACUAGAUCCGGGGAACUUCCGUGUCAUCCACGACCCGCGGUACCUCAAGUACCCGGGGUAAGCACCCGAUCACUACCUUUCCCUAGACGACACUAACAUGGAGUCCACUCGAUUGGUAGUAACCCCCGUGCCGAACAUUUCACAUCAUAAAGUUGUGGAGCCUCGCUCCCAUUUUCAUCACAUACCACAAGCACGGGGUACCAAUGGUGUGUCCGGUGCCCUGUGAAAACAGUCAUGGCCGCCCUACCUGGCACGACCCCGUCCCAAGAGAGAGCACCAACUCUCCCCCGUCACUAGUAAUGCGGGCUCCAAGCUAGUAUCGGUCUAGGUACUCAAUAAUGCCCUUUCCCAUAUAAGGGUAGAGUGGUCGCGCAUGUAAGGUUGGAAUAACGGUCGCAUCUCCGACCAAUCCGUUUGAAAACAACACACCCUUUGCUUGGCACACCACUUCGUCCUCAAGUGGUCACCCAUCUCAUCAUCUCCCUCGGGCAUAAGUGGCACCCGACGGGGUUUUCGAAAAGACUUGAAAAUAUUUUGUCUCCAUCACCAUGCAUAACCCCGUCCCUUUUUGCGUAGCACUACUUAGUAUCCUAUCUACUCCCACCGGCAUAACCCUCAUAAGAAGGUAGGGCCAUGCACAAUGCAAGUGUCAAUGAUAAAAUAACGGGGCAACCAAUCCACAUGGUUCACCAUCUCACCAUGAUUCCGAUGCGACAAUAAUGAAGAGCUAUGAAUGACAUGCAUAUAAAGGGGUUUCAUAGUCAUGGUCAAAGGGCUGCUUGCCUGUUUCAACAAGGUCUUCGAGGUCUUCAAUGUCUCUGGUCCAACUCCGAGCAUUUCGUCUACUUCGUCCAC
rnacentral:lncRNA from 1 species